GCUUGUCUCAAAGAUUAAGCCAUGCAUGUCUAUGUAUAAACAAGUAUACUGUGAAACUGCGAAUGGCUCAUUAAAUCAGUUAUAGUUUAUUUGAUAGUACCUUACUACUUGGAUAACCGUGGUAAUUCUAGAGCUAAUACAUGCUGGCGUGCCCGACUUUUGUGGAAGGGCGGUAUUUAUUAGAUAACAAGCCAAUAUUCCUCACGGUCUAUUGUGGUGACUCAUAAUAACUGAUCGAAUCGCAAGGCCCUUGGCCGCGAUAAGUCAUUCAAGUUUCUGCCCCAUCAGCUUUCGAUGGUAGUGUAUUGGACUACCAUGGCGUUCACGGGUAACGGAGAAUUAGGGUUCGAUUCCGGAGAGGGAGCCUGAGAAACGGCUACCACAUCUAAGGAAGGCAGCAGG
rnacentral:rRNA from 1 species